rnacentral:pre_miRNA from 1 species
AUACUACUCCCUCCGUCCGGAAUUACUUGUCAUCAAAAUGGAUGUGUCUAGAACUAAAAUACAUCUAGAUACAUCCAUUUCAAUGACAAGUAUUUCAGACGGAGGGAGUAGUAG